GCUCUGUGUGGUGAAGUGGUUAGAUGGGUGGUACAAUUCCAGAUGGUCUAGAGUGGCUGGGCAAGUGGAGUCUGAGAUGAGCUACUGGGAGAAAUCUGGUUUCAAUAAGGCUGAGAUCAUGUUCUCCAGCAACAAUCCCAGAUUUGAGGAAGCCUGGGGGAAGCUGGCUUAGGAUGGAGCUGCUGCAUUGGCUAUGCAGAUGUGACCCUCAGGACUUUAUCAGUACCUGUGAAGAGUUUCCAUGUAGGGAAUUGGGGAGAGUAGAGCUAGGGACCUAAAAUUUGAGAGGGGAAGAUAUUCUCCAGAGGAAGACAGUAAAUCAAAGACUACAGACCAGGAGGUGCAGACGGCUCAUCAGUCUACUGGGUGUUUUGCUAUACCUCUGAAGACUUAAGGUUUUCCUUCCUCUUACAGUAGUGGGCACUCAACAACACAUACCCUUCUCAGCAACCUGUCCUGCUGGAAACUCCUCCAUAAGGUAACUUCUGCCUGAAGGGGACCAGGGCAUCAUAUCUGCAGGUGCAGCCUCUUCCUACAGCUCUCAUACCACCAAGCUGGGGCUUUUCCAACAUAAACAUUACAGGGGCUAA